rnacentral:rRNA from 1 species
AGCAGCCGCGGUAAAUUCCAGCUCCAAUAGCGUAUAUUAAAGUUGUUGCAGUUAAAAAGCUCGUAGUUGAACUUCAGACCUGACCGGGCGGUCCGCCUAACGGUGUGUACUGUCUGGCCGGGCCUUACCUCUUGGUGAGCCGGCAUGCCCUUCACUGGGUGCGUCGGGGAACCAGGACCUUUACCUUGAGAAAAUUAGAGUGUUCAAAGCAGGCUUACGCCGGAAUACAUUAGCAUGGAAUAAUAAAAUAGGACGUGCGGUUCUAUUUUGUUGGUUUCUAGAGUCGCCGUAAUGAUUAAUAGGGAUAGUUGGGGGCAUUUGUAUUGCGUUGCUAGAGGUGAAAUUCUUGGAUUUACGCAAGACAAACUAUUGCGAAAGCAUUUGCCAAGGAUGUUUUCAU